rnacentral:rRNA from 5 species
GGGUUGUGAGGUUAAGCGACUAAGCGUACACGGUGGAUGCCCUGGCAGUCAGAGGCGAUGAAGGACGUGCUAAUCUGCGAUAAGCGCCGGUAAGGUGAUAUGAACCGUUAUAACCGGCGAUUUCCGAAUGGGGAAACCCAGUGUGAUUCGUCACACUAUCAUUAACUGAAUCCAUAGGUUAAUGAGGCGAACCGGGGGAACUGAAACAUCUAAGUACCCCGAGGAAAAGAAAUCAACCGAGAUUCCCCCAGUAGCGGCGAGCGAACGGGGAGGAGCCCAGAGCCUGAAUCAGCAUGUGUGUUAGUGGAAGCGUCUGGAAAGGCGCGCGAUACAGGGUGACAGCCCCGUACACAAAAGCGCAUGUGCUGUGAGCUCGAUGAGUAGGGCGGGACACGUGGUAUCCUGUCUGAAUAUGGGGGGACCAUCCUCCAAGGCUAAAUACUCCUGACUGACCGAUAGUGAACCAGUACCGUGAGGGAAAGGCGAAAAGAACCCCGGCGAGGGGAGUGAAAAAGAACCUGAAACCGUGUACGUACAAGCAGUGGGAGCACAGGUUUACCUGUGUGACUGCGUACCUUUUGUAUAAUGGGUCAGCGACUUAUAUUCUGUAGCAAGGUUAACCGUAUAGGGGAGCCGGAGGGAAACCGAGUCUUAACCGGGCGUUAAGUUGCAGGGUAUAGACCCGAAACCCGGUGAUCUAGCCAUGGGCAGGUUGAAGGUUGGGUAACACUAACUGGAGGACCGAACCGACUAAUGUUGAAAAAUUAGCGGAUGACCUGUGGCUGGGGGUGAAAGGCCAAUCAAACCGGGAGAUAGCUGGUUCUCCCCGAAAGCUAUUUAGGUAGCGCCUCGUGAAUUCAUCUCCGGGGGUAGAGCACUGUUUCGGCUAGGGGGCCAUCCCGGCUUACCAACCCGAUGCAAACUGCGAAUACCGGAGAAUGUUAUCACGGGAGACACACGGCGGGUGCUAACGUCCGUCGUGAAGAGGGAAACAACCCAGACCGCCAGCUAAGGUCCCAAAGUCAUGGUUAAGUGGGAAACGAUGUGGGAAGGCCCAGACAGCCAGGAUGUUGGCUUAGAAGCAGCCAUCAUUUAAAGAAAGCGUAAUAGCUCACUGGUCGAGUCGGCCUGCGCGGAAGAUGUAACGGGGCUAAACCAUGCACCGAAGCUGCGGCAGCGACACUCAGGUGUUGUUGGGUAGGGGAGCGUUCUGUAAGCCUGUGAAGGUGGCCUGUGAGGGUUGCUGGAGGUAUCAGAAGUGCGAAUGCUGACAUAAGUAACGAUAAAGCGGGUGAAAAGCCCGCUCGCCGGAAGACCAAGGGUUCCUGUCCAACGUUAAUCGGGGCAGGGUGAGUCGACCCCUAAGGCGAGGCCGAAAGGCGUAGUCGAUGGGAAACGGGUUAAUAUUCCCGUACUUGGUGUUACUGCGAAGGGGGGACGGAGAAGGCUAUGUUGGCCGGGCGACGGUUGUCCCGGUUUAAGCGUGUAGGUGUGUGUUCCAGGUAAAUCCGGUUCACUUUAACACUGAGGCGUGACGACGAGGCACUACGGUGCUGAAGCAACAAAUGCCCUGCUUCCAGGAAAAGCCUCUAAGCAUCAGGUAACAUCAAAUCGUACCCCAAACCGACACAGGUGGUCAGGUAGAGAAUACCAAGGCGCUUGAGAGAACUCGGGUGAAGGAACUAGGCAAAAUGGUGCCGUAACUUCGGGAGAAGGCACGCUGACACGUAGGUGAAGUGAUUUACUCAUGGAGCUGAAGUCAGUCGAAGAUACCAGCUGGCUGCAACUGUUUAUUAAAAACACAGCACUGUGCAAACACGAAAGUGGACGUAUACGGUGUGACGCCUGCCCGGUGCCGGAAGGUUAAUUGAUGGGGU